AGGGUGAGCUCAGUUGGUCGGCCUACUUGGUCAGAACUGGCUGACUCUCCCUUGUUUCUGAAUCCCGGUGGUGGUUAACUCUAUCGCUGUGGACUUCAGAUCGUUUACCUUGAAAAAAUUAGAGUGUUCAAAGCGGGCGUUUGCUUGAAUACAUUAGCAUGGAAUAAUGGAAUAGGACCCUGGUUCUAUUUUGUUGGUUUUGAGGACCAGAGUAAUGAUUAAUAGGGAUAGUUGGGGGCAUUCAUAUUUAAUUGUCAGAGGUGAAAUUCUUGGAUUUAUGAAAGAUGAACUUCUGCGAAAGCAUUUGCCAAGGAUGUUUUCAUUAAUCAAGAACGAAAGUUAGGGGAUCGAAGACGAUCAUAUACCGUCGUAGUCUUAACCAUAAACUAUGCCGACUAGGGAUUGGGAGCGGUUUGUUCAUUGACCCUCUCAGCACCUUACGAGAAAUCAAAGUUUUUGGGUUCCGGGGGGAGUAUGGUCGCAAGGCUGAAACUUAAAGGAAUUGACGGAGGGGCACCACCAGGAGUGGAGCCUGCGGCUUAAUUUGACUCAACACGGGAAAACUUACCACGUCCAGACAUAGGAAGGAUUGACAGAUUGAGAGCUCUUUCUUGAUUCUAUGGGGUGGUGGUGCAUGGCCGUUCUUAUUUGGUGGAGUGAUUUGUCUGGUUAAUUCCGUUUAACGAACGAAACCUUAACCUGCUAAAU
rnacentral:rRNA from 1 species